rnacentral:rRNA from 1 species
UACGGAGGGGGCUAGCGUUAUCCGGAUUUACUGGGUUUAAAGGGUGCGUAGGCGGGUUUGUAAGUCAGUGGUGAAAUCCCCGAGCUUAACUUGGGAACUGCCAUUGAUACUGCAGAUCUUGAAUUUUCUGGAGGUAAGCGGAAUAUGUCAUGUAGCGGUGAAAUGCUUAGAUAUGACAUAGAACACCCAUUGCGAAGGCAGCUUACUACGGGAAUAUUGACGCUGAGGUGCGAAAGCGUGGGGAGCAAACAGG